CUUAAUUACCUAAUGGGCUG
rnacentral:siRNA from 1 species